rnacentral:rRNA from 1 species
GCCAGACUCCUACGGGAGGCAGCAGUGAGGAAUAUUGGUCAAUGGGCGAGAGCCUGAACCAGCCAAGUCGCGUGAGGGAAGACGGUCCUACGGAUUGUAAACCUCUUUUGUCAGGGAGCAAGGAGCGCCACGAGUGGUGCGGCGAGAGUACCUGAAGAAAAAGCAUCGGCUAACUCCGUGCCAGCAGCCGCGGUAAUACGGAGGAUGCGAGCGUUAUCCGGAUUUAUUGGGUUUAAAGGGUGCGCAGGCGGCGUGUAAGGACGGGGGUAAAGGCCGGGGGCACACCCCCGGCGAGCCGUUGAAACUGGCGGGCUGGAGUUGGAGAGAAGUACGCGGAAUGCGCGGUGUAGCGGUGAAAUGCUUAGAUAUCGCGCAGAACCCCGAUUGCGAAGGCAGCGUACCGGCUCCACACUGACGCUGAGGCACGAAAGCGUGGGUAUCGAACAGGAUUAGAUACCCCCGUAGCA